AUCCUUUUAUGGUUCAUGAACAUGAUGAUUGGGUGUUCACAUACGUGUGUGAGACGUGCCACCCUCGAACCAUGUCAUGACGUCAGCACAUAACCCAUCUGACC
ensembl:snoRNA